UUGAUCACGGCUCUGAUUGAACGCGGGCGGCACACUUUACACACGCAAGAUCGAGCGGUAGCAGGGAGGAAAGCUUGCUUUCUUCGCUGACGAGCGGCGGACGGGUGAGUAAUGUCUGAGGGAUCUGCNUGAUGGAGGAGAGAUAACUACUGGAAACGGUAGCUAAUACCGCAUAACGUCGCAAGACCAAAGUGGGGGACCUUCGGGCCUCAUGCCAUCAGAUGAACCCAGAUGGGAUUAGCUAGUAGGUGAGGUAAUGGCUCACCUAGGCGACGAUCCCUAGCUGGUCUGAGAGGAUGACCAGCCACACUGGAACUGAGACACGGUCCAGACUCCUACGGGAGGCAGCAGUGGGGAAUAUUGCACAAUGGGCGCAAGCCUGAUGCAGCCAUGCCGCGUGUAUGAAGAAGGCCUUCGGGUUGUAAAGUACUUUCAGUAGGGAGGAAGGUGUACGUGUUAAUAGCACGUGCAAUUGACGUUACCUACAGAAGAAGCACCGGCUAACUCCGUGCCAGCAGCCGCGGUAAUACGGAGGGUGCAAGCGUUAAUCGGAAUUACUGGGCGUAAAGCGCACGCAGGCGGUUUGUUAAGUUGGAUGUGAAAUCCCCGGGCUUAACCUGGGAACUGCAUCCAAGACUGGCAAGCUAGAGUCUCGUAGAGGGAGGUAGAAUUCCAGGUGUAGCGGUGAAAUGCGUAGAGAUCUAAAAAAAUACCGGUGGCGAAGGCGGCCUCCUGGACGAAGACUGACGCUCAGGUGCGAAAGCGUGGGGAGCAAACACCAUAGAUACCCUGGUAGUCCACGCUGUAAACGAU
rnacentral:rRNA from 1 species